rnacentral:rRNA from 1 species
AUUGAACGCUGGCGGCAGGCCUAACACAUGCAAGUCGAGCGGAGCGGCGGACGGGUGUGUAAUGCCUAGGACUCUGCCUGGUAGUGGGGGAUAACGUCGGGAACGGGGCGCUAUACCCGAUAACUAUAGGAAUAGCCUCGGUCGGAUGGGCUAGUUGGGGGGGUAAAGGCCUACCAAGGGGACGAUCCGUAAGUGGACUGAGGGGGGGAUCAGUCCCACUGGAACUGGAACGCGGUCCAUACUCCUACGGGAGGCAGCAGUGGGGAAUAGUGGACAAUGGGCGAAAGCCUGAUACAGCCAGGCCGCGUGUGUGAAGAAGGUCGUCGGAUUGUAAAGCACUUUAAGUGGGUAGGCGUUACCAGCAGAAUAAGCACCGGCUAACUACGUGCCAGCAGCCGCGGUAAUAC